rnacentral:tRNA from 1 species
GCCGCUAUAGCUCAGUUGGUAGAGCGCGGCACUAGUAAUGCCGAGGUCUACGGUUCAAAUCCGUAUGGUGGCA